CUGAAGGAGGGAACGGAGACGUUACAUCCCCUGCCACGACCCUGACGCCGCGCUGACGCCGGGUUGCGACUCGGCUCCUCAGCGAAAACCUGAAUGAGCGGUUGCACGCCGCCAUCUUGUAUACCCGUAUGUACGGGGGAGUGGCUCGGCAUGCAAAUACCACUCGCCAAUGUUCAUUGGCCUUUGAAUAAGGCUCAGAGAUGAUUGGACUCUCAAGCGAGUUCCCAUAUGUAACGUCUCCGUUCCCUCCUUCAGGGAACGAGGGUUACGCACAUAACGUAGACGUUAUGUUAGUUAAUGCAUUAACUACUAGUCUGAUUCAUAAAAUCCUAUCUAGUGUCUUCUCUAGUGGUUUAUGUUGGUUUCAAACAUUUACUUCUAAACUGGACAGCACUUUAUUUUAAGGUUUCUUGUUACACGUUACAUGUACUUACUAUUAUGAUAACAAUAAAUUAUACAUAAUUACAUGCAAGAAACUCUAAGCCAAACCUGGUCACAUUUUAUUUUAAGGUCCAGUUGUUGCUAUUAACAAACCAUUAACUACGACUUUUGCCUCAGUAAACUCCUAAUUUGCUGCUUAUUAGUAGUUAGCAAGGCAGUUGUUAAGGUUAGGUAGAAAUAGGGAUUUAGAAUAUGGUUGUGCAGAACAUGUGCUUUGUAAGUACUAAUACAUAGCAAAUAUGAUAAUAAUAGGUAUGCUAAUAAGCAACAAAUAGUGAGAAUUGUUCCCUAUACUAAAGUGUUACCCCAAACCCUAAUUCUAACCCUAACCAUAUUCCAAUGGUCCCUUUAACACAUUCUGUUGACUCUAAGCAACGUUGCACCUACAUAUCUACUAACUCUCUCAAGAGUGUUAGUACAGUAUUGGUAGAGUGGCAGAGUUAGGGUUAGAUUAAGUUGACAUGUACUUGCAAAGUUACUUUUAGUCACACUGGGCUCGGGCUCAUGCUGUGCGAAUCGGGGUGAUGGUUGGCUGGGCUCUGGGGCACCAGCACCCACUUAACAUUGGCGGCGAGGCUCUCUCAAAGACCCUCUCCGGACAGCUUGGAAAAACGAGCAGAGGCAGCUGUCCGGAUAAUGUGUAAAGUUGGUGAGGAACACAAAGUAUGUGGUCCUAGAGAUAACGAUCUCCCUCCAGGGCGGCAGGGUCAUUCAUAACAACAGAAAAAAAAAAGAUUAAAACUGAUUGAAAACGAAAAAAUAAAACAUGGGGUAAUACGCUGCUUUCUUAUUAUAUGUCCAGUCUUCUGUCACAACACAUGCGGAGGAAGGCGCAACACGACAAUAAAAUGCAAUGUAAAGUUUUUAAUAUCAUCCACACAGGUAAAGCCACAAAAGGGAGACAUGAACACACGUAUUAAUUGACGAGACAGGACACAAAUCAUUAAAUUCAACUUAUAAAGGGUGGCUAAUGAUACACAAACAGGUGAUGGUGAUAAACUAAUAAUGACUUAACUAGGACAGGAACAGGAACAACCAUAUAUGGGCACAUGAGGGAAAAACUAAUACAAAUAGUCCAGGGGUGUGACACUUACUAUUCGGUUAGGGCUAGGAUAAGGGUUUGGUAUAGGGUUAGUUGCAUGUAAUUAUGCAUAGUUUAUUGUUACUACUAAAGUAAAUAUACUGUGUAACAAGGACACCAAAAAAUAAAGUGUUGCCAAUAAAAACAAAAAUAGUAACAUAUUUUAAUAGUUUUGUUAUAAACAAAAUCUUGGGAACACAGAGGUGGACAUUUAUAAGCAGCUGCUUAACUUACCACUCCUAUGAAAAUGUUUUCAGUCCUUCCAUCACUCCAGUAUAUACAGUACAUCACCCCAUGUUGUGUGACAAUUAUCCACCUAUUCCAUAAUGCAUGAAUGAAUGCUCAGUAAAAGAGUGAGAAAGGAGUGAGAAACUAUAUCGACAUAAUGCAUCUUUCACACCAUCUUUAAAGUUAAAUAGAGCUGCCGUAAUGCCAUUUUAAGAUUAAUGUUCAACACAGGUAUGAAUUUUAAUGUAAUAUAUUUGUGAUCUGUAUGCCUUGAUGUCAAAUAAUAAGCAUGUAGAGUUUUGGAUUUAGAUGUAAUUUAUUUGUAAACAGAAUACAGAUAACCAUUUACCCCUUACCAGGAUAUGAUUUGUACAUUUUUAUAGUGGUGCUAUGUGCUGGUAAGGAGUAAGAAGUGUGAUAACUAGCCCUGGUCUCCCCAAUAUACUAGCUUCUUAAUAAGAUACCUGUACAAAGAAAUUACAAAUCUCUAAUCGGCAGCUUUAAGUGAAAAAAGCCAAUUACCUAUUUAUAAUAAUCUGUUCUAGGAAACAGUCAAGUGGUGUAUUUACUCAGAAAGUCUGUGUGUUACCCACAAAUAAUUUUUCCUCCUACAGUUCCAUUAUGUGGGUCGUUAAGCACCGUGUUUGAGCUGCCUAUCACAAUAGACAGAGGAUCAUUCGGGGCCAUUUAAGAAUGACUGCAGGGCUGGAGAGACCUCAAGAAGUGGGAAGGCCUGGAAUCUGACACCAAGGUUGCAUUGUUUCUUCUUGAUAGGACUCAGGCUUCUUUUUGCCUCAGGCUACCGGUGGCGGGAACAGAAAGAUCCUUCUUAAGACUGAUCGACAGAUUUAGGGGAAGGUGGAGAUUUUUAAAUGACUAAUUCACCUUGAAAUGAAAUUUCUGUCAUUAUUUAUGUUCAGACAAACUGAAACACACUUUUUUUUCAGCAUGGUAUGUAAAAAUGUCCAGCAUUAAAAGUAAACAUCAUCAUAAUAAAAGUUUAAAUUGUCUACUCAGUAAGCGUACACUGAAGUGUAACACCCCAGCAAACACAGCUCAUCCACACACAGCACUGGCUGGGCUCCCACUGUUUAGACUCAUGUGAACACGCAAGCUUCACACAUCUUCAUCCAGGCUCUAUUUGAGGCAUCAACUUCAGGCCUGUUAGCACCCCCUGCUGUUUGCAAUUAACACUUUGUCUAUUUAGGCUCUCACAGCAGUCAUGUACUUGCAUUUCUUAGCAAAUGGCUUUCAAAAAGGCAGAUCUGAAGAGAACAAAUAUCAUCCUUGAUUACAGAUUGAAGAGAAUGGGAAUAAAAGAUUUAUGUAGCAUGACAAAACGUAAUCCAAAAUCGGGUUUGAAAGCAUUUUGUAAGGCUAUUGCUGGAGUUAUUGAAGGAAAGAAUUAUAGCAUCUGACAGCGCAAAAACAGCCAUUUAAAACCACUUGCAUCUGGUCAAAGCAUCACUUCCAAGACACUAAAAUUGCAAGAGAUUACUGAAUCAUUCAAAUACUGGCGAAAUGAAAGUUCACAUGCAAACGUUAAACUGCCGUGAUAGCAGUAGAUGUGUAAGAUGCCUAUGGUUUAAAUGUGCUGAUUCUGGUCUUGGGUGUUACAGAAGUUCAUAUUCUCUGAAUGUGUAUAUAAUGAAUGUUGUUGAAAUAAACAUAGCAUUAAAAGAA